rnacentral:rRNA from 2 species
ACGCUGGCGGCAGGCCUAACACAUGCAAGUCGAGCGGAAACGACACUAUCGAUCCUUCGGAUGCGUUAAUGGGCGUCGAGCGGCGGACGGGUGAGUAAUGCCUAGGAAAUUGCCUUGAUGUGGGGGAUAACCAUUGGAAACGAUGGCUAAUACCGCAUAAUGCCUACGGGCCAAAGAGGGGGAUCUUCGGGCCUCUCGCGUCAAGAUAUGCCUAGGUGGGAUUAGCUAGUUGGUGAGGUAAUGGCUCACCAAGGCGACGAUCCCUAGCUGGUCUGAGAGGAUGAUCAGCCACACUGGAACUGAGACACGGUCCAGACUCCUACGGGAGGCAGCAGUGGGGAAUAUUGCACAAUGGGCGAAAGCCUGAUGCAGCCAUGCCGCGUGUAUGAAGAAGGCCUUCGGGUUGUAAAGUACUUUCAGUUGUGAGGAAGGGGGUAACGUUAAUAGCGUUAUCUCUUGACGUUAGCAACAGAAGAAGCACCGGCUAACUCCGUGCCAGCAGCCGCGGUAAUACGGAGGGUGCGAGCGUUAAUCGGAAUUACUGGGCGUAAAGCGCAUGCAGGUGGUUCAUUAAGUCAGAUGUGAAAGCCCGGGGCUCAACCUCGGAACUGCAUUUGAAACUGGUGAACUAGAGUGCUGUAGAGGGGGGUAGAAUUUCAGGUGUAGCGGUGAAAUGCGUAGAGAUCUGAAGGAAUACCAGUGGCGAAGGCGGCCCCCUGGACA